GAUGUUUCCUUUGAGGACUUAUUUGGGCCAAACGAAGAAUUCAUGUCUCCUUCAACUAUAACUUCACGUAGUUCGGAAAAUAUGAGCGAUUCGAAAUUAAUAAGAAGCAGAAGAAGCGAAUCAUUUGAAAAAGUUUCUCAAGAUAAUUCUGUAAUAAAC